CCUACGGGUGGCAGCAGUGAGGAAUAUUGGUCAAUGGACGAGAGUCUGAACCAGCCAAGUAGCGUGAAGGAUGACUGCCCUAUAGGUUGUAAACUUCUUUUAUAAAGGAAUAAAACGAGGCACGUGUGCCUUUUUGCAUGUACUUUAUGAAUAAGGAUCGGCUAACUCCGUGCCAGCAGCCGCGGUAAUACGGAGGAUCCGAGCGUUAUCCGGAUUUAUUGGGUUUAAAGGGAGCGUAGAUGGGUUGUUAAGUCAGUUGUGAAAGUUUGCGGCUCAACCGUAAAAUUGCAAUUGAUACUGGCAGUCUAGAGAACAGUUGAGGUAGGCGGAAUGAGUGGUGUAGCGGUGAAAUGCUUAGAUAUCACGAAGAACCCCGAUUGCGAAGGCAGCUUACUAAACUGUGACUGACAUUGAUGCUCGAAAGUGUGGGUAUCAAACAGGAUUAGAGACCCCUGUAGUC
rnacentral:rRNA from 1 species